UAAGGGAUAUUGGACAAUGGACGCAAGUCUGAUCCAGCCAUGCCGCGUGAAGGAUGACUGCCCUCUGGGUUGUAAACUUCUUUUAUAGGGGAAGAAAGUUAUUUUUUAGGUUAGUAUUUUGACGGUACCCUAUGAAUAAGCACCGGCUAACUCCGUGCCAGCAGCCGCGGUAAUACGGAGGGUGCAAGCGUUAUCCGGAUUCACUGGGUUUAAAGGGUGCGUAGGCGGGUAUGUAAGUCAGUGGUGAAAUACCGGAGCUUAACUUCGGAACUGCCAUUGAUACUAUAUAUCUUGAAUAUUGUGGAGGUAAGCGGAAUAUGUCAUGUAGCGGUGAAAUGCUUAGAGAUGACAUAGAACACCGAUUGCGAAGGCAGCUUGCUAUGCAAAUAUUGACGCUGAGGCACGAAAGCGUGGGGAUCAAACAGGAUUAGAUACCCUGGUAGUCCACGCCCUAAACGAUGAUUACUCGACAUUAGCGAUACACAGUUAGUGUCUGAGCGAAAGCAUUAAGUAAUCCACCUGGGAAGUACGACCGCAAGGUUGAAACUUAAAUGAAUUGACGGGGUCAUAGCUGUUUCCU
rnacentral:rRNA from 1 species